rnacentral:lncRNA from 10 species
CAGGCGGAAAACUUAGGAAGAGCUGGAUGCCUCCCACGGAGAGCGUCCCUUCCAAGCGGCCCCGGAGUGGAGUGGAGUGGAGUGGAUAGGGGUAGACUUUUCACACGGGGACAAAUUAUUACAGGAUAUCUGCGCCCCCUGUUCCGAGUCACUCGGGGCCAUCGGUUACUUCAGCAGGUUCUCUGCAUCACGGACCCUUUUGAGGCUCAGGAAUUUACCAUGGAAAUUAUUGGCCAUAAUUGUUGGUGACACUA